GAUGAACGCUGGCGGCGUGCCUAAUACAUGCAAGUCGAGCGAACAGACGAGGAGCUUGCUCCUCUGACGUUAGCGGCGGACGGGUGAGUAACACGUGGAUAACCUACCUAUAAGACUGGGAUAACUUCGGGAAACCGGAGCUAAUACCGGAUAAUAUAUUGAACCGCAUGGUUCAAUAGUGAAAGACGGUUUUGCUGUCACUUAUAGAUGGAUCCGCGCCGCAUUAGCUAGUUGGUAAGGUAACGGCUUACCAAGGCAACGAUGCGUAGCCGACCUGAGAGGGUGAUCGGCCACACUGGAACUGAGACACGGUCCAGACUCCUACGGGAGGCAGCAGUAGGGAAUCUUCCGCAAUGGGCGAAAGCCUGACGGAGCAACGCCGCGUGAGUGAUGAAGGUCUUCGGAUCGUAAAACUCUGUUAUUAGGGAAGAACAAAUGUGUAAGUAACUAUGCACGUCUUGACGGUACCUAAUCAGAAAGCCACGGCUAUCUACGUG
rnacentral:rRNA from 1 species